GAAAAUCUCUGCUGCAGCUCCAGGCUGGGAUAGAUCUGUGCCUUCUAAAACACAUCUGUGUAUUUCAACAGUGGAGCAAUGCCAUCAGUGCUAUCACGAAAGUAAUGUUUUGGCGUAUCUGGCUAUCCCACUACACUUGUUGCCUGAUUCUGCUCUUCAUAAGCCAUGGCCACCACAGCCAGGAUCAAGUUCACCAGAUAGAAAGAACCCACAAAGAUGACCAAGACGAAGAAGAUCAUGUACGUUUUCCCAGCUGCUCGUAAGAUAUCCCGAAAGACAUGGAAGAGAAAUUAAAGUAAAAAGAGCCAAGAGUUAGACUGUAGAGACCUGACAGUGUGCAAAGGCCUGUGCUUUCUCACAGAGUGGGCCUUUCCUGGAGGCUGUGGCCACCAAAA